GUGCUCGCUUUGGCAGCACAUAUACUAAAAUUGGAACGAUACAGAGAAGAUUAGUCUGGCCCCUGCGCAAGGAUGAUAUGCAGAUUCAUAAAGCAUUCCAUUUUUUU